UACGUAGGCAGCGAGCGUUGCUCGGAAUUACUGGGCGUAAAGGGCGCGUAGGCGGGAUGGCAGGUCGGUCGUGAAAUCCCUCGGCUCAACUGAGGAUCGUCGAUCGAUACUGCCGUUCUUGAGGAUUGCAGAGGAGACUGGAAUUCCCGGUGUAGCGGUGAAAUGUGUAGAGAUCGGGAGGAACACCGGUGGCGAAGGCGGGUCUCUGGGCAAUUCCUGACGCUGAGGCGCGAAAGCGUGGGGAGCAAACGGG
rnacentral:rRNA from 1 species